rnacentral:rRNA from 1 species
GACAGAGGGUACAAACGUUGUUCGGAAUUACUGGGCGUAAAGCGCGUGUAGGCUGCUUCGCAAGUCGGAUGUGAAAUCUCCCGGCUUAACUGGGAGGGGUCGUUCGAUACUAGCGGGCUCGAGGUCGGUAGAGGGAAGCGGAAUUCCGGGUGUAGUGGUGGAAUACGUAGAUAUCCGGAGGAACACCAGUGGCGAAGGCGGCUUCCUGGACCGAUUCUGACACUGAGGAGCGAAAGCGUGGGGAGCAAACGGG